rnacentral:rRNA from 1 species
UACGUAGGGGGCUAGCGUUGUCCGGAAUCAUUGGGCGUAAAGCGCGUGUAGGCGGUCCGGUAAGUCCGCUGUGAAAGUCGGGGGCUCAACCCUCGGAUGCCGGUGGAUACUGUCGGGCUUGAGUACGGAAGAGGCGAGUGGAAUUCCUGGUGUAGCGGUGAAAUGCGCAGAUGUCAGGAGGAACACCAAUUGCGAAGGCAGCUCGCUGGGACGUUACUGACGCUGAGACGCGAAAGCGUGGGGAGCAAACAGG